rnacentral:rRNA from 1 species
UACAGAGGUCUCAAGCGUUGUUCGGAUUCAUUGGGCGUAAAGGGUGCGUAGGCGGCGCGGUAAGUCGGGUGUGAAAUUUCGAGGCUUAACUUCGAAACUGCAUUCGAUACUGCCGUGCUUGAGGACUGGAGAGGGUACUGGAAUUCCCGGUGUAGCGGUGAAAUGCGCAGAGAUCGGGAGGAACACCAAUGGCGAAAGCAGGUACCUGGACUAUUACUGACACUCAGCUGCGAAAGCUAGGGGAGCAAACAGG